CUUCCUCUCUCUUACUCCAGUCACUCUGUGUCCAGUUGAGUGGUCUGGCAUUGAUAGAGGAUGCAGAACCAUGGCUCUGUCACCUCUCUCUCUCAUACAAGACUAUCGUCCUACAUGAGGCUUGUGAUAGCGGUCAAAAA